UGGCGACCUAGAAGACUUCAUUUACUCCUCAUGGUCCCAUCUCUCAGUUGGAGAGUAUAUUCACUCAUACAAAGAAUCCAGGAGAGAAAAAUGGGAAUGAAUGCAAGCUACCAGAAUUAAAGGAUAAAAACAACUUCAUUUAUUUUGCGGAGUUAAGAUACUAAUAACUGGUAUAAACGGAAAAGUUUCAAACCAGAGGCACUGUGUCAGACGUCAACAUGCAUUCCCAGGAAGCAGAAGGUCAGGAUGCAAACCACUUGUUCAUGGUCUUUGGUGUACAAUGGAAGAAAGUCAGCAAAACAGGACCAGAGUUCAGCAGUAAUCAACAGCCAACAUAAUGGACUAAAAGAACUAAUCAAAUUCUAUUAGCUUAUUGGGAUUAUGUUUUGUCAAACACUGCAUGAAAUAAGUGACUCAUUCAUCUAUUCUUAAAAAUAGUUUUUGCUAUAGAGAUUUUCAUUAUACUCAUAGGAAAUGCUCUAUCUACAUGAAGCAUGUACACUUUUAGUGUUUCCUCAAGCAUCAGACAGGAGAUGGGAAUUCAAUGGACAUAUACAGAAAAAUAACUGACUUAGUUAUGACUCUGAUUCUGUUGGAAGUUUCUAACCAUUGCUUUUCCCCUAUGCAAUGAAAAUCUAAGCAAUUAACAUAAAGCUGUCAAGAAGUCUGACAUGAAAAAUAAUUGUUUGAAAAAUGUAACAGGGGUAGAAGUGUGCUCAAAGGCAAACUCUUAUCAGUAAGCAGAUUAAAACCAACAGGAUUCUACAAUGCAGUUCUGUGGUCUUCCUGCCUGCUGCCCUGCUUAAUGAGACAUAGAUCCUCCUGAGUGGACAAAAAUCGCUUGAUGUUCGCUGUUUCUAGGCUGUUGAAUUUCUGCAAAAGGAAGUAGAUUAGUAAACUGUGUCAUAUAUGAGUGGCGUGGAUAUGACACAGACAGAGAUAACCAGUAUGUUGCAUGCUUUAUCAGCUGACAGUAUACUUGGUGCCAAUUAAUAAUAUGGGGGAGAUAUGAUGUCUUACUUCACCCUUUAGGCAGUCUUUUUUUGUCUUCCCUUGGUUGAUGACUUCAGAAUGGUUGCUGAAGAUAUAAAUACUAACUUAAUUUUCCCUUGCAGUCUGUAAAGUAAUAGAUUCUGCAUCAGUGGUUCUUAACCAGGGAUGAUCCCCCUGCAAAGGGACAUUUAGCAACAUCAGGAGAUACUUUUGAUUGUCACGACUUGCAGGAAGGGAUUGUGAAGAUUCUCUUUCCACCCAUCUCUCCCACUGUGCCAGAGGGCAGGGAAAAUCAGAUCUGGCAGAAGAUGGAAAAGAGUCUGGAUACAGUCCACUCAGCUUAGAGAAAUGAAGUGGCACAGCUACUUAGUCACAGCCAGUAAACCAGAUUGGAGGAAUCCUAAUUUCAAAGAAAUCAGCUGAUAAAUACACUGAACCUCAGUUUCUAGCUGGAACUAGAAUAUUAUGUAUAUUUUCAGC